ensembl:piRNA 21ur-5412 ncRNA
UGCGUGAGUAAGGUUUUUUUG